rnacentral:rRNA from 1 species
AGAGUUUGAUCCUGGCUCAGGACUAACGCUGACGGUGUGCAUAAUACAUGCAAGUCGAACGGGCGAUAGAGAAGUGGCAACACUUUUCUAAAGCUAGUGGCGAACGGGUGCGUAACACGUGGGUAAUCUGCCUUGAAGAUUGGGAUAACUCCUCGAAAGAGGAGCUAAUACCGAAUGUGCUGUAUAUUUCGCAUGUUUUAUACAGUAAAGGUAGCCGCAAGGCUUCUGCUUCAAGAUGAGCCCGCGGCCUAUUAGCCAGUUGGUGGGGUAAUGGCCUACCAAAGCUAUGAUGGGUAGCCGGUCUGAGAGGAUGGUCGGCCACACUGGGACUGAGAUACGGCCCAGACUCCUACGGGAGGCAGCAGUAGGGAAUCUUGCGCAAUGGACGAAAGUCUGACGCAGCGACACCGUGUGAGGGAUGAAGGUCUUCGGAUUGUAAACCUCUGUCAAUUGGGGACGAAGGUAGUAGGGUUAAGAGCUCUUACGUAUUGACGGUACCCAAUAAGGAAGUCUCGGCUUACUCCGUGCCAGCAGCCGCGGUGAGACNGGGGAGGCAAGCGUUGUCCGGNAUUAUUGGGCGUAAAGAGCGCGUAGGUGGUUUGUCAAGUCAUUUGUGAAAACUUUAGGCUUAACUUAAAGAUUGCAAGUGAUACCUGGCAUACUUGAGCACAGCAGAGGAAAGUGGAAUUCUUGGUGUAGCGGUGAAAUGCGCAGAUAUCAGGAAGAACACCAGUGGCGAAGGCGGCUUUCUGGGCUGUUGCUGACACUGAGGCGCGAAAGCUAGGGGAGCGAACAGGAUUAGAUACCCUGGUAGUCCUAGCCGUAAACGAUGGACACUAGGUGUGGGAAGUYAUCGACGCUUUCCGUGCCGAAGCUAACGCAUUAAGUGUCCCGCCUGGGGAGUACGGCCGCAAGGCUAAAACUCAAAGNAAUUGACGGGGGCCCGCNCAAGCGGCGGAGCAUGUGGCUUAAUUCGACGCAACGCGAAGAACCUUACCAAGGCUUGACAUCGUAAUGAAGGCCGUAGAAAUAUGGCCGCCAGCAAUGGCAUUAUGACAGGUGGUGCAUGGUUGUCGUCAGCUCGUGUCGUGAGAUGUUGGGUUAAGUCCCGCAACGAGCGCAACCCUCUUCCCAUGUUGCCNGCAGUUCGGCUGGGCACUCUUGGGAUACUGCCAGUGUAAAACUGGAGGAAGGUGGGGAUGACGUCAAAUCAUCAUGCCCUUUAUGCUUUGGGCCGCACACGUGCUACAAUGGCUUGUACAAAGAGCUGCGAUACCGUGAGGUGGAGCGAAUCUCAGAAAACAAGUCUAAGUCCAGAUUGAAGGCUGAAACUCGCCUUCAUGAAGUCGGAGUCGCUAGUAAUCGUGAAUCAGCACGCCACGGUGAAUACGUUCCCGGGCCUUGUACACACCGCCCGUCACACCACGAAAGUUGGAUACACCCGAAGCCAGUGGGCUAACCCGCAAGGGAGGCAGCUGUCNAAGGUGGAGCCAGUGAUUGGGGUGAAG